GACGAACGCUGGCGGCGUGCCUAAUACAUGCCAGUUGAGCGAUGAAGAUUGGUGCUUGCACCAAUUUGAAGAGCAGCGAACGGGUGAGUAACGCGUGGGGAAUCUGCCUUUGAGCGGGGGACAACAUUUGGAAACGAAUGCUAAUACCGCAUAACAACUUUAAACAUAAGUUUUAAGUUUGAAAGAUGCAAUUGCAUCACUCAAAGAUGAUCCCGCGUUGUAUUAGCUAGUUGGUGAGGUAAAGGCUCACCAAGGCGAUGAUACAUAGCCGACCUGAGAGGGUGAUCGGCCACAUUGGGACUGAGACACGGCCCAAACGCCUACGGGAGGCAGCAGUAGGGAAUCUUCGGCAAUGGACGAAAGUCUGACCGAGCAACGCCGCGUGAGUGAAGAAGGUUGUCGGAUCGUAAAACUCUGUUGGUAGAGAAGAACGUUGGUGAGAGUGGAAAGCUCAUCAAGUGACGGUAACUACCCAGAAAGGGACGGCUAACUACGUG
rnacentral:rRNA from 1 species